rnacentral:misc_RNA from 1 species
UAUCGCGAUCCUUUUUCACUUUUCCGGCAGAAAUGCCGUUGCGACUGUGCACGGCGGGACCGAACAGAAGGAAAGGCCUCUGCUUUGGUUGAUUGCCAUAAUAGCACAUUGUUCUACCGGACAAGAUAAACGCUGGAAGCAUGCAGGAAAUCAUCGACACAGUGAACCGCUACACGCUGCGAAGCGCAGCCUUCCGGGAUAAGCCCACUCCAGGCCUUGCGGCGCGACAGUUUCUCUGCUCGCUGCUACUGCAUCGAAAGCUGGAUUCUAUCCGGCUGUCCUCGAUAGCACUUUACAUGUUCUCGACAGAGGCGCUCAUCGCCGUUUCACGUGAUGGCAUUCAGACCAUCAGCUGCGAAGGCAGCACAUUAUGGCCUAUUUGUUCAAUUCCAAACGGACUAACGAGCGAGAUUUCGGGUGUGGCAGUGACACCUGCGGGUACGCUUGUCUGCAGCUCCAAUGGCAUCUGCUACCUUGAAGGCGGAAAUCUGAGAGUGACGGAGGAUUGUGCUUCCAGCAGCUACGCGCAAAACGUACUUUGUAUCUCGUGCACACCUGACGGCAAGUACAUUGCAACCGGGGGUGGAACGGCCACGGUCACCGUGUGGACAUCCGAUUUAAAGCCCCUUCACCAUUUUGCUGGCCACACAGACUGGGUUCGCUUCGUCAAAUUCGCACGCGGCAGGUCACCUGCGCUGCAGCUUUUCAGCACGGGCGACGACGGGGUGAUAUGCCAGUGGGAUGUGCUCGCCGGGUCCCUCAUCUCGCGGGUCGACUACUCGCUAGGAGAGAGCAUUCAGCUCUUCGAGGUAAGCUACUACAGUGGCCUCAUUGCCAUCUCCAGCGGAACAUCGCUCAUUGCUCUAUACUGCCCCCGGUCAGACAACACCACUCGCGCUCUCGGGGAAGAUGUCCUUCGCCUGCAGCCGAUGGCGCUUAUCACGGGUGCUCACGAUUACACCCCCACAGCUGGAAAGUUCACGGAUGACUCUCAGUGGCUUGCCAGCGCAUCUGAGGAUGAAACCAUUGCUCUCACGUAUGUCCUUGACCCACAAACGUGCUUUGUGUGCAAAGAGUUCGUCACCCGUCGUCGCUGCUUCUCUUUCAUGAACAUUUUCAACUCCAUCUGCAUUUUGGCUGCUCCGCCUGCUUCAUCUGUGAUUAUUAUUGCCGCGUGCUCGAGUGACGGUACUGUGGUGCAAUGGGUGGUUGAUCCCCGUACAAACAGAGCGACCUACACCAAGAAACUGCAACUUCACUUGGGCUCUUUUUUAGGCAUGGACUUGAUCCCCGGUGACGACCUAAACCACUUGUUGUGGUGAAGCGCUGAUAGUAAAUGUGGUUCCAGCUGGCGGUCUCACUUUUUCUCCGUGUAGCCGCAGUGCUGUCCUCGUGCCCUUUUCGCCUCUCGUGCUGCACCCCCCUCGUCUCCGAUCCCUCUACUGUUGCUUUCGCC